AAUAAUUUGUGAUCGCCGCUAAGGUCAAAGAAGGCUGAAGUUGGUUUGUAAGUUAAUCGGUCAGUCAGUCAAUCGUACAUCGGCGUCCCGAAAAUAAGCGGAUUGUAACAUUGGACUACGUUAAGUGCUUCACCCCCUUACGAUUUCGUGACCAUUAAUUCUGUGAUAUUAUCAAUUCUGCAAAAAUGGCUACUCCAGCGAAGAAAAGAAUAUGCAUUGUUGGAAGUGGCAAUUGGGGUUCAGCUAUUGCAAAAAUUGUGGGCGCCAAUGUUGUAAAAUAUAACAACAAAUUCGAAACACGUGUGACAAUGUAUGUCUACGAAGAGAUAGUAAAUAGCCAAAAAUUGACUGAAAUUAUAAAUACGAUGCAUGAAAACGUAAAAUAUCUCCCCGGACACAGGCUUCCUGAAAAUAUUGUUGCCGUUCCCGAUGUCGUUGAGGCUGCAAAAGAUGCAGAUAUCCUAAUAUUUGUAAUACCCCAUCAAUUCAUACGAACAUUGUGUGCAACAUUGCUAGACAAAAUAAAACCAACGGCAGUUGGUUUAUCAUUAAUUAAGGGUUUCGAUCGAGGAGAUGGAACAAACAUUGAACUAAUCUCUAAAAUUAUUGAAAAAAAUUUGAGAAUUCAAUGUUAUGUUUUAAUGGGUGCAAAUUUGGCUAAUGAAGUGGCCGAGGAAAAAUUCUGCGAAACUACCAUCGGCUGCAAGGACAAACGGCUAGCACCAUUAUUAAGAGACCUCAUUCAAACACCCAAUUUCAGAGUAGUAGUUGUAGAAGACUGCGAAGCUGUUGAAGUAUGCGGAGCAUUGAAGAAUAUCGUGGCUUGCGCAGCUGGUUUCGUAGAUGGUAUGGGUCUAGGAGAUAACACAAAAGCAGCAGUGAUCAGAUUAGGAUUGAUGGAGAUGGUUAAGUUUGUAGACACUUUCUAUACCGGUUCAAAGCUAUCAACAUUCUUUGAAAGUUGUGGUGUAGCAGAUUUAAUCACUACUUGCUAUGGAGGCAGAAAUCGCAGAGUAUGCGAGCAAUAUGUAAAAACUGGCAAAACAAUUAAAACACUUGAAGACGAACUUUUAGGUGGACAGAAAUUACAAGGUCCUGCCACAGCUGAUGAAGUUCAUGGAAUGCUAAAGGGUCGUAAUUUAACAGAGAAAUUCCCCUUAUUUACUGCCGUACACCGUAUCUGUACAGAUCAAAUAAGACCAGCAGAUUUACUUGACCAAAUUCGUAACCAUCCUGAGCAUGUGUUUGCACCAAGAACAUUAUACAUGUACUAACCACUAUUCCGAUAUUAUAAGUUCAAGUAACAUUGAAACUGUUACAAUGGCUAAUAAAUCCCAAGUAUAUCGGGACAAAAUGUCUCACAAACUUGAGAUAUUUUUAUAUCUUUUCCAUUAAUGAAGCAUCAAUAACACAAGUCGCAUUAGAGACCAAAUGUGAUGAAAGUAGAAGGUGCUGAGGAAUCAUAAUUGUGCGUUCAAGAUCACUUAAUAUGCAACUAUUUUCAUAUUAUCUUCAAUGUUAGAAACAUUACACAUAUUUGACUACAAAUAAAAUCUAUUGAAUUAAUAUCACCGAUUCGAAUAAAUUCGUAAUAAAUUAUUAUUAAUUCUUGUAACAGUACAACAGUCUUUACGAAUAUAAAUGUACUAUAAAUUACUUAAUAAAAAGUUAAGAACGAG